ACGGAAGGCAGCAGUGGGGAAUAUUGCACAAUGGGCGAAAGCCUGAUGCAGCGACGCCGCGUGAGUGAAGAAGUAUCUCGGUAUGUAAAGCUCUAUCAGCAGGGAAGAAAAUGACGGUACCUGACUAAGAAGCCCCGGCUAACUACGUGCCAGCAGCCGCGGUAAUACGUAGGGGGCAAGCGUUAUCCGGAUUUACUGGGUGUAAAGGGAGCGUAGACGGUUUGGCAAGUCUGAAGUGAAAUGCGGGGGCUCAACUCCUGAACUGCUUUGGAAACUGUCGAACUAGAGUGCAGGAGAGGUAAGUGGAAUUCCUAGUGUAGCGGUGAAAUGCGUAGAUAUUAGGAGGAACACCAGUGGCGAAGGCGGCUUACUGGACUAUAACUGACGUUGAGGCUCGAAAGCGUGGGGAGCAAACAGGAUUAGAUACCCUGGUA
rnacentral:rRNA from 1 species